rnacentral:rRNA from 1 species
GACGAACGCUGGCGGCGUGCUUAACACAUGCAAGUCGAACGGAAAGGCUCCAGCUUGCUGGAGUACUCGAGUGGCGAACGGGUGAGUAACACGUGGGUGAUCUGCCCUGCACUUCGGGAUAAGCCUGGGAAACUGGGUCUAAUACCGGAUAGGACCGCACUUUGGUGUGUGUGGUGGAAAGGUUUUUCUGGUGUGGGAUGAGCUCGCGGCCUAUCAGGUUGUUGGUGGGGUAAUGGCCUACCAAGACGGCGACGGGUAGCCGGCCUGAGAGGGUGGACGGUCACAGUGGGACUGAGAUACGGCCCAGACUCCUACGGGAGGCAGCAGUGGGGAAUAUUGCACAAUGGGGGAAACCCUGAUGCAGCGACGCCGCGUGGGGGAUGAAGGCCUUCGGGUUGGAAACUCCUUUCGCUAGGGACGAAGCUUUUUGUGACGGUACCUGGAGAAGAAGCACCGGCUAACUACGUG